AGAAGAAUGUAACCAAUCUAGGGGAGGCUCAGGGACCUUCGAGACGUCGAUGUGAUCUGUUCAAGAAUUGCAAAGGUGUGGUGACUACGAGGAAUUUCAACGGUGUUCUGACAGAAUGGACCAAAUGAGGACUCACCUUCGGGUGGUUCAUCUUAGAAGUUGUGUAUUUUAAAGCUUCCGAACUGUGUAAAUGGUUACGUCACUCUCACGUGACGGCCAGCAUGCCCUCCUUCGGGACGGGGUGUGUCAAUGAGGAUUUUUUAAGGUGAAGGAUGAACCCUAGGGCUUUUACAAAUUGAUUUUCUUUAAAUUAGUUUUUAGUUGACUUA